rnacentral:rRNA from 1 species
UACGUAGGGGGCGAGCGUUGUCCGGAAUUACUGGGCGUAAAGCGCACGUAGGUGGUACGUCAAGUUCGGCGUGAAAUCUCCAGGCUCAACUUGGAGGGGUCGUCGAAGACGUGGCGAACUAGGGUCUGGCAGAGGCAGGUAGAAUUCCCGGUGGAGCGGUGAAAUGCGUAGAGAUCGGGAGGAAUACCAGUGGCGGAAGGCGGCCUGCUGGGCCACGACCGAGCACUGAGGUGCGAAAGCGUGGGGAGCGAACCGGG